CCUCAGUAAAGUGAAUAUCACAAUAAGCUGAAGAUUUUUUAUUGCUGAAUAAUAUUUCACUGCAUGGAUGUGCCACAAUUUGUUCAUCCAUUCACCUCUGAAGAACAUCAUGGUUGUUUCCAAGUUUUGGAAAUUAUGAAUAAAGCUGUUAUAAAGUUUUGUGUAUUUUUUUUGGACAUACGUUUUCAGUUCAUUUGGAUAAAUACUGUAUUAGUCUGUUUUCACACUGCUAUAAAGACAUACCUGAGACUAGGUAAUUUGUAAAGGAAAUAAUUUUAAUUGAUUCAGAGUUCCACAUGGCUAGGGAGGCCUCAGGAAACUUACAAUCAUGGCAGAAUACAAGAGAGAAGCAAAGAACAUCUUACAUGGUGGCAGGUGAGAGAGAGAGAGCAAAUGAGCGAAGAGGGAAGAGCCUCUUAUAAAAUCAGAUCUCAUGAGAACUCACUCACUAUCACAACAACAACAUGGGAGAAACUGUCCUGGUGAAUCAAUUACCCCCAACCUGGUCUCUCCUUUGACACAUGGGGAUUAUGGGGAUACAAUUCAAGAUGAGAUUUUGGGUGAGGACACAGCCAAGCCAUAUCAAAUACCAACCAACAGCUGAAUCAUUAGGCAAGACUAGGUUUAUGUAAAUUAAAAGUGGCUGGACCAUUUUGCAUUUCUACCAGCAAUGAAUGAGAAUUUUUUUUUUUUUUUUUUUUU
rnacentral:lncRNA from 10 species